rnacentral:lncRNA from 1 species
CGAAUUCUUUCUUUUGGUCCUGUGAUGCUCUCUAGAACCAUAACCAACAAUGCUUGCACCAUUUAUUCGUUUCCUCCUCUGAUCAGCAGCCAUGGACACAAGGGAAUAAUUCUUCAACAAAGCACUAGAUACAAAUAUGAAGAAAAACACCACCUUCUCUUUUACUGAACAUCUUACAUCGGCAGCCAGCCUGCCAAGCACCAUUGAAAAACAAUCAAUGAUAUUAUAGCAUUUCAAGCCAUUAUCCAGAAAUGUGAAACAUUAUUUUCUUCACACACAAUUAAUAAACUGCUUCACUUAAGGUUCAAUUGUGCCAAUCACUGCCCUUAGCCCUUACUAUGAAAUUGAACAUUUUCUGUACGUAAAUGUGGUCAUUCUAAUGCUACCACUAUUCUAUAAGAAAAAAGAUUACUAAAUAUUUGAUUCCAUGCCUCAAUUUAAUUAAAAAAUAAUUCCCACUCUAAAAAAGAAAGCAAAUGGCCAUUUUUGCAGGCUGGAACAGAUUGAUGUUUGUUUCUUUUUGCCAUUAAUGGAUCUUUUGCUGGUUAGAACUAUUUAUUUGUUUUCAUUUCAUAAUUCAAACUUUAUUUCUAUUUACUAUAUUUAUGAGUCAAUUUCAUAUUGAGCUCUCUGUAGUCUGUACCAAGCAUAAAAGAAGAAUGGAAUGGAAUUAAAUUAUGAUCCAUUCAUGAGCAAACCUAACAAAUUAACAAGAAAGGUCAUUCCUUUCCCACUUAGUAAUGCAAAAAACCAAUUUCAUUACCAUAGAAGUGUCACAUUAAUAAAACACCCAAGCUGUUAGAAAAACAAAAUUACACACAGAAGGAGAAGACAUGACUCAUAUCAAAAGUCUCAAAGAGGCAUACAAAUUGAAUCACCUACAAUACAAGAUUAACCACAUUUUCAUAUUUGUAUCGGACAUUAGCCCCCAACACUUCUGCACUGAUCUUUUGCAUCAAACUGGUUAACUAUUUUCAUCUUAUUUGUCUGCUCACUGGGAUGGAUUUCCCAACAACGAAUAUUAAUGCAAGUAAAGGAAAACUUUUCAUAGGAUACCUAUAGUCAAUGUAGUAAUGAAUACACAUGACCAUUUACAAUUUGGAAUAUCAAUAAUGCCACUAUCACAAGCAUCUCCGAAUUCUAAUAUACAACGGAAACUCUUCCCCAAAUCAAGAGAGUGCGAAAUGAUAACACACAUCGGUAAACGACAACAAACUCAAAAACAUGAAGCAGCACUUUGAACAAUCCAAUCAAGAUGACAGUAAAAACAAGCUUUUUCCCUCACACGCCACGUGCAAGUCACCCCAACAGAAGCAAGAAAUAUGUCACAGAUUUCAGUUACUUUAAGAACAAAGACUACCAAAGGGAAAGAGAAAAACAAUAUUCUUUAGCCCUACCAAGAAAGAAAACAGUUUUCACAUAUCAUGCGACUUCCAUUUUCACAGGUUCCCGCAAGACCCAUACUUAAAUAUGUCAGUAAGCGUAAACACGAGUACGCAGAGGAAAUUAACCAAGUGAAAUUAACAGAACUACAUCUCACAAUGCAAUAUAAAAGUAAAAAAUAAUGCUAUCCAAACAUUUAAAUCAUCAAACGAAGUAAGCUCAUUACUCAAGAAGCCAAGUCCCCAACACCUUCCCCACAAAUCAAAUCAAAGUGAAAACAAAAACAAAAAAGAGAAACAUUAGAACCGCAACAAUUCGAAUACGAAAUAUAUACAUAUACAACCAAUAAUUCACAAUUUAAAAACAAACUCACGAGAUUAUACCGAAAUUGAAAAAUUAUGAUGAAGCCGCAUUCAAGUUACCUCCUUUCGGAUUCGCAGAAGCGAAACCCUAAAAACUAAAUAGGUUUGAAAAAAAAAAAAUACUAGUAAUUUUUUUCAUCGCCUGUCCUUGUGAAAGAAGAAAAAGCACUUAAAUCUGUACAGUUAAUCGAAGUUAAGCUAAUAAUAAUAACAAUAUAAUUAGGAUUGGGAGAGCCGGAGAGGGAUUGGAAUUUACCGUGCAACGAAGAUAGCGAUAAUCUAAGAGCGAGGGCAAAGAGAACGAGAAAGAGAGGUGUAGUUGAAGAGAGAGAGACGGGUUUGAUAUUGAAGAUUUU